GCCAGACUCCUACGGGAGGCAGCAGUGGGGAAUAUUGCACAAUGGGGGAAACCCUGAUGCAGCGACGCCGCGUGAGCGAUGAAGUAUUUCGGUAUGUAAAGCUCUAUCAGCAGGGAAGAAGAUGACGGUACCUGACUAAGAAGCCCCGGCUAACUACGUGCCAGCAGCCGCGGUAAUACGUAGGGGGCAAGCGUUAUCCGGAUUUACUGGGUGUAAAGGGAGCGUAGACGGCGAUGCAAGCCAGAUGUGAAAGCCCGGGGCUCAACCCCGGGACUGCAUUGGGAACUGCCCCGCUCGAGUGCCGGAGGGGCAGGCGGAAUUCCUAGUGUAGCGGUGAAAUGCGUAGAUAUUAGGAGGAACACCAGUGGCGAAGGCGGCUUGCUGGACGAUGACUGACGUUGAGGCUCGAAAGCGUGGGGAGCAAACAGGAUUAGAUACCCGAGUA
rnacentral:rRNA from 1 species